CUAAGAGUGCAUAAAAGUGAUAAAAAUUUGCGUUCCAUUGGCAAACGUUGAAGGCCCACUGCGGGACCUAUGUGCUAGGAUAAAUUGUCCAGAUUUUUUGUACCAUUUCUGUGCUUCUGAUUCAUUAGCUGUUUGUACCAUUUCUUCUUGUCAUUGAUGUUGAGAAACAACUCUUUAAAUAUUUUAGUUAAAUGCUAUUAAAAUUUGGUUUUAAGUUAAAUUUAAUAUGUUAUAUGAACUAUAAAAUAGCUAAUUUUUCUUUUUAAAUUACUUUUUAAAUGAUACUUAAAAUGGUGGUUUUAUAAAAGGUGUGUUUGAACCACUAUUCAAAACAGGCUCUUAGUCUUUUUGCAUGAGUUUGGUAGUUCUGGAAUCUGGAAGGAAGGGGAAGAGGAUACUAAUGAAUGUGGCAAUGCUGUUUGUUCAAGCCAACUUUUGAACCUCGCCAAACAAGCACAUGAAAACUGAGGACUUAAUGUUUUAAGGGUUUCAUGUAAAAUUUUUUAGGAACGCCCAUCUCAAUGUCUGUAGUUUUGCUCAAUUUAUUGAGAUUGUGUUUGAGGUGAUUAUUAGUUUGCAAAAUGCUUCUUAUGAUAUUAUCUCAAUUUCCAUUUUCUUACUGCCUUAGUUUUUCCACUUUAUUUGAUUCCAUGUCAUAAUCCCUAAUUAUUUGUAAAUUUUUAGCUCAGAGCACUUUUAUGCACCAGUUUCUUUGUUAAAUCCGGCAGAACAAGGAGGUGGUAUAAAGAGUGGCAGUACAUGCAAUGCAACACUAGGCAAAUAGAUUUGGACUGAGUGCAUGAUUACAAUAUUAAUUAAAGCGCUUAAGGAGGCAUGAGAGGAUAUUUCAGGACAUUUGCAGGGUUCCAAAUAAAGGUCUAGAAGCAUUGUUGAAGCUCAGUUUUGUCAUCAACUGUGAAGUCAAUGUUGUACAGAGCUUUUGUUUUGUAGAACUAAUGAGGGACACUGUGCAGAUGCACUGAAAAAAGUUAGGAGAAAGUUCAUGACUCCGUGGUUCUUCAACCUGAACGCCUGGAGCCAGUUGGUGGCUUUGUGCCAUAAAUGGUCCCUCAAUAAUUUUCAAUUGUCAAAUUCAUUUUGUCCUAUUUGCAGUACAAGCAAUUACAUUUUUUCAAAGAAUAACAAGCACUUUUAUUAAUUGAGGAUUUUUACUGGAGACGUAUGUAUGAUUCUCUGGCCAAUUGUUGGGAGAUGGUAAAUUGCCUUCUUUGUUUUACCAACAGAAAAGAAACUAGGACCCAUCAAGCAGGCAGACCACCUCCACUUUAGAGAUUAUCCUCUAUCGUUGGAUUUUUACAUUGGCCCGGUAGGUUUUGAUCUAAGUGGGAUGAUGCAUGUUAGGAUUAUGAUAUGGGGAGCUGAUGUUUUUGUUUCUCUACUCAAGUGUUAUUAUUCCCCUUAACUUUUUUCCUAUACUGAAUCAACAAUGAUUGAAACAACCAUUUGCCUGGCCAGCAGAUUGUGAUGAGCUUGGCGGACCCAUUUACAUUGCAUACGUUUCAAAAAGGUCCGUUCAUGGAUUCUUUUAUCAUCCAUUGGGGGGACUCGCAAUUUGCUUGGAGUGUUUUGUUUGCCAGCCAUGUACCAAGUCAAUUAUCAACUGUGACACAUGUUAAAGGAAAAAAAAAAGGGUUAUUUCUUUCUUUCUUUCUUUCUUUCUUUCAUCUCUGUAUUGCUCACAAAUGCCACGUAGUGCGUCUCUCUUUCAUCUAAUUAUUUAAAAUCCAUCCCUUUUCUCAA